CAUUCCUACGGGACGCAGCAGUGGGGAAUAUUGCACAAUGGGGGGAACCCUGAUGCAGCGACGCCGCGUGGGUGAAGAAGUUAUUCGUGACGUAAAGCCCUAUCAGCAGGGAAGAAAAUGACGGUACCUGACUAAGAAGCCCCGGCUAACUACGUGCCAGCAGCCGCGGUAAUACGUAGGGGGCAAGCGUUAUCCGGAUUUACUGGGUGUAAAGGGAGCGUAGACGGCGGCGCAAGUCCGGAGUGAAAGCCCACGGCCCAACCGUGGUACUGCUCUGGAAACUGCGCGGCUUG
rnacentral:rRNA from 1 species